GGGGAUGUAAUGGUUUCGACAUUGCAUUGGAAUCACAGAUAGCGAGUAGUGGAUUCUCGUUUGCCACUUAAAAAACGAGAAAACUAAAUAUAAACGCUGAUAAUACAGAAUUAGCAUUUGCUGCUUAGUUUGCGGCAACGCCAGUUAAGAUAUCCCCGCAUAUUUUAAUUUGGUGUCAUUUAGCGGGAAACAAAGCUAUUUUUUCUGCGGAAAUAGUGGGUAUUUAGCAGAUAUAUUUAUUAAUUGUUUGUUUGUUAAUGAUUAAUAAAUGAAUUUCAAUAACAAACUGCACUCGGAGAAGUUUGUGUGGAUAGUGUUAUGGACAGGGGUUCGACUCCCCUCAUCUCCACCA
rfam:Clostridium sp. CAG:356 genomic scaffold, scf102